GACGAACGCUGGCGGCGCGCCUUAACACAUGCAAGUCGAGCGAGAACCAGUCCUUCGGGGCUGGGGACAGCGGCGAACGGGUGAGUAACACGUGAGUAAUCCACCCUCGGUACCGGAAUAGCCCGGGGAAACCCGGAUUAAUGCCGGAUGGCCCAUCUGUUCUUCGGAAUUUGAUGGAAAAGGUAGCUUCGGCCUCUGACCGGGGACGAGCUCGCGGCGGAUUAGCUUGUUGGCGGGGUAAAGGCCCACCAAGGCGACGAUCGGUAGCUGGUCUGAGAGGACGAUCAGCCACACUGGGAUUGAGAACGGCCCAGACUCCUACGGGGGGCAGCAGUGAGGAAUUUUCCGCAAUGGAGGCAACUCUGACGGAGCAACGCCGCGUGCAUGAGGACGGCCUUC
rnacentral:rRNA from 1 species